rnacentral:rRNA from 1 species
AUUGAACGCUGGCGGCAGGCCUAACACAUGCAAGUCGAGCGAGCGGCGGACGGGUGAGUAAUGUCUGGGAAACCGCCUGAUGGAUGGGGAUAACUACUGGAAACGGUAGCUAAUACCGCAUACCAUCAGACUUGCCCAGAUGGGAUUAGCUAGUAGGUCGGGUAACGGCUCACCUAGGCGACGAUCCGUAGCUGGUCUGAGAGGAUGACCAUCAACACUGUAACAGGAACACGGGCAAGACUCCUAGGAGAGGCAGCAGUGGGAAAUAUUGCACAAUGGGAGCAAGUCGGAUGCAGCCAUGCCGCGUGUGUGAAGAAGGACUUCGGGUUGUAAAGCACUUGAAGCGGGGAGGCGUUACCCGCAGAAGAAGCACCGGCUAACUCCGUGCCAGCAGCCGCGGUAAUAC